rnacentral:tRNA from 1 species
GCAUGUGUGGCGAAAUGGCAGACGCAGGAGACUUAAAAUCUCCAGUUCUUAAGUGGGCGUGCAGGUUCGAGUCCUGCCAUAUGCA